AGCGAACGCUGGCGGCAGGCUUAACACAUGCAAGUCGAGCGGGCCCUUCGGGGUCAGCGGCAGACGGGUGAGUAACGCGUGGGAACGUGCCCUUCGGUUUGGAAUAACCCUGGGAAACUAGGGAUAAUACCGGAUACGCCCUUAUGGGGAAAGGUUUACCGCCGAAGGAUCGGCCCGCGGCUGAUUAGCUCGUUGGUGAGGUAACGGCUCACCAAGGCGACGAUCAGUAGCUGGUCUGAGAGGAUGAUCAGCCACACUGGGACUGAGACACGGCCCAGACUCCUACGGGAGGCAGCAGUGGGGAAUAUUGGACAAUGGGGGCAACCCUGAUCCAGCCAUGCCGCGUGAGUGAUGACGGCCUUAGGGUUGUAAAGCUCUUUUACCCGGGACGAUAAUGACGGUACCGGGUGAAUAAGCCCCGGCUAACUUCGUGCCAGCAGCCGCGGUAA
rnacentral:rRNA from 1 species